GAUGAACGCUGGCGGCGUGCCUAAUACAUGCAAGUCGAGCGUCGAAAGGAGAAGGGGUAACCCUUCUCCCUGAAAGCGGCGAACGGGUGAGUAACACGUGGGCAACGUGCCCCAGACCCUGGGAUAACAACGGGAAACCGUUGCUAAUACCGGAUAACCCCUGCGCACCGCAUGGUGUGCUGGGCAAAGCUCCGGCGGUUUGGGAUCGGCCCGCGGCCUAUCAGCUUGUUGGUGGGGUAACGGCCACCAAGGCGAUGACGGGUAGCUGACGUGAGAGCGUGAUCAGCCACACUGGGACUGAGACACGGCCCAGACUCCUACGGGAGGCAGCAGUGGGGAAUAUUGGACAAUGGGGGAAACCCUGAUCCAGCGACGCCGCGUGGGUGAAGAAGGCCUGC
rnacentral:rRNA from 1 species